rnacentral:misc_RNA from 1 species
GAAAGAUUAAUGAUCCAUUUACAGCUGCAUUCAUGAAAACUUGGAGGAAAAAAAUGGGGGAGGGGGAAAGGGCAUGCAAUCCUAUUUAAUCUAGUCAAGCUUCCUCCUCUUAGCUUUCUCUUCCUUUCUGAUCUUUUCUUAAAUUCAUUUUUACGAACAUGUGAUAAAGCUGACCCGCAGCCAACAAAAUGCACUUCAUUCUCAACAGAUCAGUCAUCAUCAGACACACAGACAACAUCAGUUACAUAAGUAGCUCCAGCUGAGGAAGUAGGAACUCCAUGUACACUAUCCAGUGUUUGAAAAUCAGAUAGGUCCAAUAAAUCAAAGUCAGGGUUCACAUCUGGUAAAGGUGGCAUAAUGCUCGGCUUGUUUGCAUGAGGUUGAUUCUCCACAUUAAAAAGCAAUUCCUGAGCAGAUAUAGACGGAUUUCGUGUAGCAGGCAAUCCACCAAUAUCAUGCUGCGGAGGCACAUUCCGAGAACUAGAAAGAUCUACAGCUAACUGUGGAACCAACGGUAUAGGUAUCUGAUGUUGCGGACAUUGGGAUGGGGAUGGUGAUGAUGUUUGUAGAGAAGGUAAUUGGGGAACUGAGGGUGAUGAUGCAGCCAUGUAAGGGGACUGCGGGUGAUUUUGCAUACUAUGAGCAAGGGUUGAAGGACUGUUGCUAGAAGACAUGGAUGAAAGAGUCUUGAAAGGCUGAAGAUGGGGGGCUGGAGCACGGAUCUCGCUAGCUACCCUAAGAUUCCCAGUGGAAGGGGUAAUUGCACAGAUGAGAGGUGGCCUGCCAGGAGUUCCUGCAGAAUGUGUUGUUGAACGACUAACAGCAACUGUCUGCUGAGUAGGUGCAGGUUGGCCAGCUAAAGAUAACCCAGUAACUGGUGUACAUCUUACUGUAGGCUGAGAAAUACAACCAGAAUGAACUGAACGAUUAGAGGGGACAGAAGUCUCCUGUCUAACCUUUGCUUGGCCAGCUGAAGGCAAACUGGUGAUAGAGGAAGCUCUCAAAGAAACUGGGACAGAACUUUGUUGGCUAGCUGAAGAUGAACCAGUCACAGGAGAAGACCUCAAAUUAGGCUGCUGGGAUACCUGAUGGAGAUGCUGCAAAUAACUAGAAGGCACAACUUGACGCAUGCCUGAGAACCCCGAAGGUUUAAGAUUCAUGCAUUUGCAUCUAAAAGCAUCUGCCAAGAGCUUAUUCAUGAGAACUUUGAUCUGAUUAACAUCAAGUUCUUUCUUCUUCCUAAGAAAUGCUGCCUCAGCUUCCUGAAGUUUAUGAUCAUAUUUCUUACGGAUUUGGGCAAUCAUUUCCUCUAUCUCCUUCUCGCAAUCAGAUC